rnacentral:rRNA from 1 species
GAUGAACGCUGGCGGCGUGCCUAAUACAUGCAAGUCGAGCGAACAGACGAGGAGCUUGCUCCUCUGACGUUAGCGGCGGACGGGUGAGUAACACGUGGAUAACCUACCUAUAAGACUGGGAUAACUUCGGGAAACCGGAGCUAAUACCGGAUAAUAUAUUGAACCGCAUGGUUCAAUAGUGAAAGACGGUUUUGCUGUCACUUAUAGAUGGAUCCGCGCCGCAUUAGCUAGUUGGUAAGGUAACGGCUUACCAAGGCAACGAUGCGUAGCCGACCUGUGAGGGUGAUCGGCCACACAGAAACUGAGACACGGUCCAGACUCAUACGGGAGGCAGCAGUAGGGAAUCUUACGGAAUGGGCGAGAGCUUGACGGAGCAACGCGGCGUGAGUGAUGAAGGUCUGCGGAUCGUAAACUCUGUUAUUAGGGAAGAACAAAUGUGUAAGUAACUAUGCACGUCUUGACGGUACCUAAUCAGAAAGCCACGGCUAACUACGUG